rnacentral:rRNA from 1 species
AACGAACGCUGGCGGCAGGCUUAACACAUGCAAGUCGAGCGCCCCGCAAGGGGAGCGGCAGACGGGUGAGUAACGCGUGGGAACGUACCUUUUGGUUCGGAACAACUCCGGGAAACUGGAGCUAAUACCGGAUAAGCCCUAACGGGGAAAGAUUUAUCGCCGAAAGAUCGGCCCGCGUCUGAUUAGCUAGUUGGUGAGGUAACGGCUCACCAAGGCGACGAUCAGUAGCUGGUCUGAGAGGAUGAUCAGCCACACUGGGGCUGAGACACGGCCCAGACUCCUACGGGAGGCAGCAGUGGGGAAUAUUGGACAAUGGGCGCAAGCCUGAUCCAGCCAUGCCGCGUGAGUGAUGAAGGCCUUAGGGUUGUAAAGCUCUUUUGUCCGGGAAGAUAAUGACUGUACCGGAAGAAUAAGCCCCGGCUAACUUCGUG